rnacentral:rRNA from 1 species
UACGGGGGAUACGAGCGUUAUCCGGAUUUAUUGGGUUUAAAGGGUGCGUAGGCGGCCUGUUAAGUCAGGGGUGAAAGACGGUAGCUCAACUAUCGCAGUGCCCUUGAUACUGAUGGGCUUGAAUUGACUAGAGGUAGGCGGAAUGUGACAAGUAGCGGUGAAAUGCAUAGAUAUGUCACAGAACACCGAUUGCGAAGGCAGCUUACUAUGGUCUUAUUGACGCUGAGGCACGAAAGCGUGGGGAUCAAACAGG